GACGAACGCUGGCGGCGUGCUUAACACAUGCAAGUCGAACGAUGAAGCCUAGCUUGCUAGGUGGAUUAGUGGCGAACGGGUGAGUAAUACGUGAGUGACCUACCUUUGACCCUGGGAUAAGCCUGGGAAACUGGGUCUAAUACCGGAUACGACCAAUCUCCGCAUGGGGUGUUGGUGGAAAGCGUUAUGGAGUGGUUUUAGAUGGGCUCACGGCCUAUCAGCUUGUUGGUGAGGUAAUGGCUUACCAAGGCGACGACGGGUAGCCGGCCUGAGAGGGUGACCGGCCACACUGGGACUGAGACACGGCCCAGACUCCUACGGGAGGCAGCAGUGGGGAAUAUUGCACAAUGGGCGCAAGCCUGAUGCAGCGACGCCGCGUGAGGGAUGACGGCCUUCGGGUUGUAAACCUCUGUUAGCAUCGAAGAAGCGAAAGUGACGGAGGGCAGAGAAAGCGC
rnacentral:rRNA from 1 species